GGAAUGAGGACAUGAAGGAAGUGAUAGAGAUAGACCAGUUCUCUUACCCUGUGUACCGUGCCUUUCUCCAGUACCUCUACACAGACACAGUGGACCUGCCACCUGAGGACGCUAUAGGCCUUUUGGACUUGGCAACAUCGUACUGUGAGAACAGACUGAAGAGGCUCUGUCAGCACAUCAUCAAGCGAGGAAUCACUGUGGAGAAUGCUUUCUCAUUGUUCUCUGCUGCAGUCAGAUAUGACGCAGAGACUCCAAGGAUCAAAGUCAGUUGUUAUAAGCAGCAGAUGUCCUUACCCACUGAGCCAUCUCAGCUGUUCCUGUUUUGUUGGCUUUAAACUUAGUUGGAUUUCAAGUCUGCAUUUCUCAGCUUUGUAGCAUCUGAUGAGUAGUGUUCUGGAAUGUGUACACCAUCGAACUUUCCUGACUGAGCAGAGCCGCAGAUUUGGAGCAGAAGCUGCCCCUGACAGACCGUGUGCUGAUGCAUGGCAGCCCAUGCUGCUGAACAGUGAAGACAGUGCAUGGAAGGCUGCAGGAGGCAUCGUUACUGAACUCAGACUGAUGUGCUUAGCUUUACAGAUUCAUAAAAAGUAAAAGGCUGACUUCGCUAAGU
rnacentral:lncRNA from 1 species